rnacentral:tRNA from 1 species
GCCUGGUUGGCUCAGUCAGUAGAGCAUGCAACUCUGGAUCUCAGGGUUGUGAGUUCGAGUCCCACAUUGGUUG